GCGCAGGCGCAGAGAAUAGCGUCGGUCGGGCCGGUGGCGUAGCGCCCCCUGGCCGUCCGGGCCGGCGCUGCAGGUGACUGGGGGCCGCGGCCGCGCAAUGGUGGCCUUGUUGGCCCUGCUCGCCGGCUUGGUAGCCGGGCCGCUCUCCGGGCUGGAUCCUCUCAUGAACACGUCCAUGGCGACCAGAUAACCUGAAUGAGGUAGAGGGCCUUGACGCAUUUGCACUCCUUCUCCUCUCCCAACCAAGUGAAAGAAAGCCGGCAGAGUUUUGCGAGGCGUCCAGCGUGGAGCAGGUGAUAUUGCCCAUUGGCUGCUGCUACUGUUCAUACCUUAUGAAUCACCAUUCCUCGUCUUCCGGAAUUCAUUCACUCCCAAAGACACCCCAACGUCGACAGAAAGAGCCACAUACCCAGAUCAUCAGGGAUACUUAUGUAUUCACUCUUACAUAGACCUUGGGCCUGAAGAGAUAUCUGUUCCAGUUGGACAAAUCAAGAGAAAUAGAAGAGCUUUAUAGGUGUGA